rnacentral:misc_RNA from 1 species
GAUGAAGAACGUAGCGAAAUGCGAUAAGUAAUGUGAAUUGCAGAAUUCAGUGAAUCAUCGAAUCUUUGAACGCACAUUGCGCCCAUUAGUAUUCUAGUGGGCAUGCCUGUUCGAGCGUCAUUAAUUCCACUUAAGCCCUGCUUAGUGUUGGCAAUCUACUCUAGUGGUGCUACCCUGGAGCUACCCCUGAAAGGGGGCUGGCCCGGUAGUUACCCUGUAGUUCCUCAAAGAUAGUGCGCGGAGUUGCGUGGUCCUCUGAGCUUAGUAACUAUACACCUAGCUUUUGAGUGUCCCGCGGCGCCUGCCGUUUAAACCCCAUCUUUUAAUGGUUGACCUCGGAUCAGGUAGGAAUACCCGCUGAACUUAAGCAUAUCAAUAAGCGGAGGA